GGGCUCACUUCAGCAGCACCUAUACUAAAAUUGGAACUACACAGAAGAUUAGCAUGGGCCCUGUGCAAGGAUCACACGCAAAUUCAUGAAGCAUUCCGUAUUUUU
ensembl:snRNA U6 U6 spliceosomal RNA